rnacentral:rRNA from 1 species
UUAAAUUGAAGAGUUUGAUCAUGGCUCAGAUUGAACGCUGGCGGCAGGCCUAACACAUGCAAGUCGAGCGGAAACGAGUUAUCUGAACCUUCGGGGGACGAUAACGGCGUCGAGCGGCGGACGGGUGAGUAAUGCCUAGG